GCAUAUCAAUAAGCGGAGGAAAAGAAACUAACAAGGAUUCCCCUAGUAACUGCGAGUGAAGCGGGAAAAGCUCAAAUUUAAAAUCUGGCGGUCCUUGCGGUCGUCCGAGUUGUAAUUUAGAGAAGUGUUAUCCGCGCUGGACCGUAUACAAGUCUCCUGGAAUGGAGCGUCAUAGAGGGUGAGAAUCCCGUCUUUGAUACGGACUACCAGGGCUUUUGUGAUGCGCUCUCGAAGAGUCGAGUUGUUUGGGAAUGCAGCUCAAAAUGGGUGGUAAAUUCCAUCUAAAGCUAAAUAUUGGCGAGAGACCGAUAGCGAACAAGUACCGUGAGGGAAAGAUGAAAAGAACUUUGGAAAGAGAGUUAAACAGUACGUGAAAUUGUUGAAAGGGAAACGCUUGAAGUCAGUCGCGUUGGCUGGGGAUCAACCUUGCUCUUUUGCUUGGCGUACUUCCCAGUUGAUGGGUCAGCAUCAGUUUUGACUGUUGGAUAAAGGUGCAAGGGAAUGUGGCAUCUUCGGAUGUGUUAUAGCCUUUGGUCGUAUACAGCGGUUGGGACUGAGGAACUCAGCACGCCGCAAGGCCGGGUACUUGUACCACGUAACGUGCUUAGGAUGCUGGCAUAAUGGCUUUAAUCGACCCGUCUUGAAAGCACGGACCAAG
rnacentral:rRNA from 1 species